AUUGAACGCUGGCGGCAUGCCUUACACAUGCAAGUCGAACGGUAACAGGUCUUCGGAUGCUGACGAGUGGCGAACGGGUGAGUAAUACAUCGGAACGUGCCCGACCGUGGGGGAUAACGGAGCGAAAGCUUUGCUAAUACCGCAUACGAUCUACGGAUGAAAGCAGGGGACCGCAAGGCCUUGCGCGGACGGAGCGGCCGAUGGCAGAUUAGGGAGUUGGUGGGAUAAAAGCUUACCAAGCCGACGAUCUGUAGCUGGUCUGAGAGGGCGACCAGCCACACUGGGACGGAGACACGGCCCAGACUCCUACGGGAGGCAGCAGUGGGAAAUUUUGGACAAUGGGCGAAAGCCUGAUCCAGCCAUGCCGCGUGCAGGAUGAAGGCCUUCGGGUUGUAAACUGCUUUUGUACGGAACGAAAAGACUCUUUCUAAUAAAGAGGGUCCAUGACGGUACCGUGAGAAUAAGCACCGGCUAACUACGUGCCAGCAGCCGCGGUAACAC
rnacentral:rRNA from 1 species